AGAGUUUGCUCAUGGCUCAGAUUGAACGCUGGCGGCAGGCNUAACACAUGCAAGUCGAGCGGUAGCACAGAGAGCUUGCUCUCGGGUGACGAGCGGCGGACGGGUGAGUAAUGUCUGGGAAACUGCCUGAUGGAGGGGGAUAACUACUGGAAACGGUAGCUAAUACCGCAUAACGUCGCAAGACCAAAGUGGGGGACCUUCGGGCCUCAUGCCAUCAGAUGUGCCCAGAUGGGAUUAGCUAGUAGGUGGGGUAAUGGCUCACCUAGGCGACGAUCCCUAGCUGGUCUGAGAGGAUGACCAGCCACACUGGAACUGAGACACGGUCCAGACUCCUACGGGAGGCAGCAGUGGGGAAUAUUGCACAAUGGGCGCAAGCCUGAUGCAGCCAUGCCGCGUGUAUGAAGAAGGCCUUCGGGUUGUAAAGUACUUUCAGCGAGGAGGAAGGCGUUAAGGUUAAUAACCCUUGNCGAUUGACGUACUCGCGA
rnacentral:rRNA from 1 species